UACAGAGGGGGCAAGCGUUGUUCGGAAUUACUGGGCGUAAAGGGCGCGUAGGCGGCCUGUUAAGUCGAACGUGAAAUCCCCGGGCUCAACCCGGGAACUGCGUCCGAUACUGGCUGGCUUGAAUCCGGGAGAGGGAUGCGGAAUUCCAGGUGUAGCGGUGAAAUGCGUAGAUAUCUGGAGGAACACCGGUGGCGAAGGCGGCAUCCUGGACCGGUAUUGACGCUGAGGCGCGAAAGCCAGGGGAGCAAACGGG
rnacentral:rRNA from 1 species